GACGCACCGGUGAUAUUGAGAGGCGGUGGAGAUUUCCGGCACUUGAAUUUGACUGUCAAGAGACUCACAUAAACAAAUGACAUCGUCGUGGGAGAAUUGGGCAACUUCUUGCCUGCAAACAUCCGCUAAGCAGCAAGCAUCUCAUCAUGCGGGGGUGUUCGGACUAGAUGGUUCCGUAUGGGGAGCGACAGACGAAGUCGCCAAAGAGAUUCCAAAAGAUUUUUUCACGACGGUCUCUUCCAUCAUGUCUGUAGGCGCUGGAGCAGGCAAGCUGAAGAUUCAAGACAAGUCGUACAUCACAAUUCGCUCGGAGGCCAACCUCCUUAUAGCCAAGUCUGGAGCAGGGGGACUGACCAUUUGCAAGAGCAAGCAGACCUACGUUAUUGGAAUGUAUGACGAUGAAUCUGUCCAGCCUUCAAACAACUGUUUAGCCGUGACAAGUAUCUGUGACGCGCUCAAAGAAGCUGGUUACUAGAGCAACGGCUGAUUUCUUACAAGACCUGUAUUGAGAUGCUGCCUGGCCAUAUUCGAAUGGAAUCCGGUUGGUGUGUUGGAGUGGCCUGCCUGUCUGUCUCAUGGUAAUGCAGCUACUAUGCAUUGUAGUCGACUUAACAGUGGUUACACUGGGGAGUGGUGUUGUGGUACAUCCGAUCCAACACAGAUAUUAAAUUGCAUGACAUAUUUUAUGUACAUUUUUAAAUUUUAAAUUUAAAAAAAUUUCAAUGCUUGUCAGUAUUUGUGAAGGCAUUUCUUCCAACUGUUUAUGAAAUUGACAUGCUUGUUGUUGUUAUUAGUUACAUUCAUGUCAUUAUUUUACAAUCCUGGGUUCAGUAACCACAGUUGCAGUGGCUGACUCUUGUGUCUUCAGUUCACUCAUGCAUAGCAGUGUUUGAGCUGAAUAUUUUAUUUCAUAUAUUUUGAGGGUACUCCAGCUUUGACAGUUCUCUUGGUCCAUCAUUUUUAUGGAGCAAACUUGAACAGCCAAUGCUUCAUCCUAGUGUGUGACAUCAUUGUUACCCUAUUGGUAUCAUCGCUGCCACCAGUGUGCAAGCGGCCAUUACAAGAAUCUUGACAAUGUUCCCUCUAACCCCAGUUGCAGUGAUCUAGUUACAAUUUUUAGUGAAUUGGGGUAAGGUUUGCGACUGACUUACUAUUUUAUUACGUUUAAUGACUCUCUACUUAAUUAAUGUUUGAUUGUUUAAUAAGCUUGGUUUGAGAUUAGACACUUACGGAAAAGCAGAAAAGCGCCCAACUUCCAUGUUCAUUAUUCACUAAACUAAUUAGAUUACUGUUAAAUUGAAAUGAAAUUCAAAUUAACAAUCAAAAUCAUUUAGCUGGGGAAAGUGUAUUUGGCGUAAUGACAGUCGUCCCUUGUUUGUAAACAUGACGGUCAGUCGAUUGCGUGUUCAUCUCAAUGCAUCCCGAGUUGUGGCAGCGAUAGAUUUGAGAGCUCCAUGUAUGUGCUACGGUGUGAGGAGCUUGUUAAGACUCCAUUCAAGGGAGACAAUUCUUGUAGGUACUACAUCUGAUGGAUACUGUGAAGGGAGUUGUGGUAACUGGUCCACUGUAAGGUUUGCUCAUUUGUGUAAAGGUCAUUUGUGUUAAUACAUAUGCAUUGCAAUAAGUUUUCCCACCUUGUCAUAAGCCAUGUGUAUCCUAUCAGUACAGACAGAAGGGUUUGUGUAUGAGUGUCAGGAGUCAACAGUAACUGGAAAACUGUUCGAAGAGGUGUUAAACCCAACUCACUCUCUCAUAAGCAAUGUUCAGAAUUAGGUUUUAGAGUUUUGGAGUCCAUUUAAAAGCCCUGAGUUUGAUUGAAGGGUGUCUGGACAUUCUAUUGUAGUGAACGUCAUGGCCCCAGUAUACCAAAGAGCUUCUUAAGUCACUUUGACCAGCAGUAAAAAAUAUUUACUUUCUCAGAUAAGUAUGUUUAGUUUUUUUCGGUUGAGUGGAAACUUGUUAAGUGAUGAUUUUUUAUUCUCGGUUGUGACAUGUACUCAAUGAACACCGUGUGAAUGUAAAAUAAAUGCUUCAUAAAAACAAUUCGUCCAGAAAUUAUUGACAAUGCCAGGUCAAGUCUGUGAAACAUAUUUUGCAAGCAAGGAUGGUGGCAGCCCACAUUCCGUCAGUCCUUUAAAAUGUCAUUUCCAGUCAGUCCUUAAUGCCUACAUUCCGUUAGUCCUUUAACAUGUCAUAUCCUGUCAGUCCUUAAUGCUUUGCAGCAAAGUAGAAGUCAGGCUGCCAAGUUUGUGUUGGUCAGCUACCCAAUUGGUCCAUGUAGACCUCUAUCUUUGUUUGUGUUUGUGUCACGUUAAUAUUUAUUUUUUCGGUUUCAUUUCCCUAUCAGUAUAGAGUAAUCCUCAUCCUGAUGUUUAAAACUUACAUCGUUAUGUAGCCUCGUUUACUUGAUAUUGAAUAUGACAAUUUUUGUUACUGUCAUUAUCAGACCGGGGUAGAAUAGGUCUUCAGCAACCCAUGCUUGCAGUAAAAGGCGACUGGGUUUGUCGUAAGAGGCGACUAAUGGGAUCGGAAGGUCAGGCUUGCUGUCUUGGUUGAUACAUGUCAUCGUAUCUCAAUUGCGUGGAUCGAUGCUCAUGAUGUCAAUCACUGGAUUGUCUGGUCCAGACUCGAUUAUUUACAGUCCGCCGUCAUAUAGCUGGAAUAUUGUUGAGUGCGGCGUUUAACAACAAACAAGUAACAAGAUAAGUUUUCAAAGGGUUUUUGGUUAAAGCAUUUUCACGACUUGUGUCAAGAUCCCUUUUACAACAUAAGCAGCCGAAGAUAUUUGUUGUUGUGUUUAAGACUAGUCAAGAUGACUAGUGGAAUCUUUGUUCACUAGUCGUCCAAAGACAAAUAUGUUUACUAUGUUUACAUUUGUUGUCUGUUUUAUUCAGUUCAAUUUGUAGCAAGGUUGAAGCAUUAAGAACAGGUUCAAGACUGUAGCCCUCAAAUGCUACUAGUCAAUGAGGACUACCAUCAUUGUAUUUUUGCUUUUUCUCACCACAAUUUAGUAGGCUAGUGAAUUUUGAAGGCUCAUUUCACCGUGAUUUGUUUAUGAAGGGAGACACCUGAGAAGAGACUAACAAGCUGCGCAAAGCACGUCUCAGACUCUAGUUUUAAUCACUACCUUGAAACCCAUUUUCAAAUAACUGUAAAAGAAAAAACACAUUUAUCCUCAACUAGAGUCUUGCAUUUCCAGACCUGAUGUUCUCUAAGGCUACAAGAAAGGAAAUUUUUCUUGGGCAUUGGUGUGUCGUUUUUAAUUCUGGACAUCGGUCAUUUAAAAAAGAUAUUUCAAAUUGACAGGGUUAGAAAUUAACACUAGCCCGCUAGCCCAAGGCUAGUAAAAAAUUCAUUCGGGCUAGUACAAAUUUCCAAAUUUCCCCAUUGUUUUAACAUUACAAAGUCAUUUUAUCCUUAGUGGGGCAAGUGAAGUUUUUGAGUUUAGUUCUAACCCUGAUUGACAAUUGAUAAAAUAUGUUCAAAGUGUGCCUGGCUUUGAUUGUUGGUCUUCUUGGAAAAAAAUGAGUAUUUAAUUAUAGAAACCUGUUUUUAUGCGAACUAACUACAGUAGAGUCUCGGUAAUACACUCGUUCUUUUUCCGACACUAAUGAUGGGAACCAAUUAAAUCCGUGCUAUUUAGACCCGUUACUCCGCUAAUCAUAUCCAACCAACCAUGUCGGAUUAUCGGGACUUGACUGUAGAUUGUCAAAUUUGUCUGUAUACAGAGAUACGUUGUCAAUGUUGAUACUCUUCUGAGGUCAACUUUCCUGAUGAGCAAAUUUCUAGAUUUAAAUAUAGAUUAAAUAUAUUUAUUAAAUACAUUUAAAUAUAGAUAAAUAUAGAUAUGGAAAGAUGUCCCUUAUAAACCACGUGCCAAACAAGAUACUGGAACGUGAGUUUUUGCCGGAUUACUGGGGCAUGGACAGAGAGGUUUUUGCUGUUCCAUUGUUCCUGCUGCUGCAACUUUUUCUAACAAAUGGACUAAUGUGGUCCUGAAAAUGUACCGAUUGUUACUUUGUUAUUAUUCCAAACCAGUUGUUUUUAUCUUCAGUUUUGUUUUUUGUUGGGUCUUUUUUCCAUGUAAGACCAGUACAUUCCUGUAGGUAGUAGACAAAGAAAACAUUAUGUUAUGUCGGAUCAAAGUUGGACUAAAGAUGUCUUUUACUCCCAAGGCGAUAGGACCAGGUGAACCUUGACUUCCAAAUAGAAAUGAAGGAUGAGUGGGUUUUGAGUCAAUCAGAUGUCCGAUUUCUAACACGAUUCGGGGGCGGUCAGGUAGCCUAGUGGUUUAAGCGUUCGCUCGUCACACCGAAGACCCGGGUUCGAUUCCUGACAUGGGCACAAUGUGUGAAGCCCAUUUCUGGUGUCCCCCGCCGUGAUAUUGCUGGAAUAUUGUUAAAAGCUGCGUAAAACCAUACUCACUCACUCACUGUAUGAGAUAUGAUCUGUAUUGUAAUGUCGGGGUAUAUGAUAUGAUUAGUAUCACAGUGCAAGGGACAUUGUACAAUCUUAAUAAGAGACAAGGAGUAUCCAUGCCAAAGAGAAAUGUUUAAGUUUUCCAGCUCUACACACUUCUAAGUGCCCCAAACUACCGAAAUGCAUUAAUCUACUGCUUAUAAGUCUUAAAUAACAACACUCCAACUCUCAGUCGUCCAGGUGUCACUUUAAUUAUCUACGUCAUCACCUUAUGCCAAUUUGCGCUAAACACAAAUCAAACCAGUCAAGAUUAUUGUACAUAAGAAGCAAAUUUUGAAUCUACAAAGCAAAAAGCCAUCUGUAUUUCAAUACUUUCCAAGUUGGCGUGUUGUUGCUCCUUUGAGCAGGAGCGUUUUUUAUGUGCUGUAAAACAUGAAUAUAUUCCUACCUGUAUCAGGGGACGGUCGGGUAGCCUAAUGGUUAAAGCGUUCGCUUGUCACGCUGAAGACCCGGGUUCGAUUCCCGACAUGGGUACAAUGUGUGAAGCCCAUUUCUGGUGUCCCCUGCCGUGAUAUUGCUGGAAUAUUGCUAAAAGCGGCGUAAAACCAUACUCACUCACUCACUCACUCACUCACUCAUACCUGUAUCUUAAAAGCUUCAUGAAACACUGCAUGAAUGAGUCCUUAUUUCAUUUUAUGAUCAACCGUAUACCUUGUUAUAUUAUGAUACCAGUAUUCAUAUGUUUUCUGUAUUUAGUCCAUAUUUCCACUUUCAUUGUAAUCUUCAGUGAAUAUUUAUAUUUAUCAGUUUUAAACUUUUUUUGGUUCUACAGUGCUCUGCAUGUGUUGUGUUAUGUUUCUUGUAGUUAGACUGUUUGAUUGUGAUGAUGGAAGCACCAGGAUGAAGCCAAACUCCUCCAUGUGAUAUUAUGAUAGGCCAAUACAGUACCACCAUGCCAUUUAACUUUAUUUUAUUACCCUGACAAGAAAUACACUGCUGGGCAAAAGAAAGUAUCACUUGAAAAUUCAAUUGACCAAUCAAAACGGUACUAGGAUGAAAAUAGUUGCCAAAACAUGCUAUGCUACCUGUAUCAAAUACCUCACCAUCGAAUAACCAUUUCCUGUUUGAUUCAUUGUCAGCCACCAUCGAACAUUGUUGUAUACUUUCUUUUGCCCAGCAGUGUGUUUGAGGCCACAACAGCAUUUUGUGGUAAUAUCAUAGUUUCGUUUUUGUAGUCUAGUCAUAUGUAUUGUUACUUUUGGGGACAAAAUCUACAUAACAAAUCAUUGACUGUUAACACCUAAAAACUAAAUUGUCAUUUUUGUGGUAGAAAUCUAUCGGAUCAAUUUGUUGAAACUUACCGUUUUUUGUGUUUGUUAAUAUGCCUGGUACUGUAGUCCCAUGAUGCCACUAUUGCAGGAACUGUCUCAGAGUCUCUGAUGUGAUAUAACAAAUAUGCCAUAGGUAAUACUCAUCUAUAUGCAUUGGUGAACUGGGUAUACUGUAUUCGACGUAAUAAGCGAUAUGUGGUUAUAUAUUUUCUAGUGUACAAUCCCAAUUAGCACCCCUUCCAAUUGAUCAGUGUACACAAGACUUAUUUAUUCGCGUAUAAUAAGUACUCGUGUGUUAUAUGCACCUUAAUUAUGGGCAAUUAAAUUCUUGAAAAAUAUAUCUGUCAUACAUAACUCUGUUUUGUUUUUUUCCACCAAAAUAUUAUUCUAGUAAGAGCCCCCUAUUCCUAAUUUUGAGAGCGCCCUGGGCGCUUAUUACGUCGAAUACGGUAAGUAUUUUUUAGUGCUAAAUUUAGUAACUUACUGCUCAAAGCAGAUUUGUUCUGACAGCACUAUCUUUUUUUGCAACCGUAUUAUUGCUUGCAGUAUUAUACAUUGUGUUCACAAUUUGUUACCCGAGCUUUAAAAGAAUUUUUAUUGACAACAUUCCUUGUAAAGGAUAGGAAACUUGGUGUGAUGAAGCUUUCAUUCUUGUAAAUGACAGUCAUCACUUGGCCUGAUUAACAUCCUUGCUGCUUUGAAGUGAUACUAUUCUCAAUC